GAGGUUGUGUAUCACAGAAUUGUAUGAUUUCCCAGGAUCAGCUGAGAAGUUGUUUCACUGGAUUAUUUAAUGGAUAGGCCUAUUGGGCAUAUAGUUGGAUAUUUUGGAAAGAAUACUAUAAUGUGGCCCAUCAGGAUGACCAGUAAAGAAAUCUUAAUGACCCUCUUGACUAUGUAUAAAGACUGUAACCUUAUAACUGAUGUAAGAAGAUCUGAUUGUGUGGAAUUAAAAUUCCCUGGUGUUUCUACUACCCAAGAUCUUCUUAUGAGUGCAUGGGACUGCUGUAAACCAUCUCCUGUUAAAACAUACCUUGGAGCAUGACACUUUAUUCAUAAAAGGUACUUUCAAUAUCAUUUCUAUGAGUUUUUGUUCUUUCUAUUAAUAAUCUAGUAUUUAAUUCCAGUGUUAUAUCUCCUUUAACCUCAUUAAUAUGUAUGCUUCCAAAAUCUUAGAUCUGUCUGUAUAGUUUCUUCAGCUCUUUGAACACAAAUACCCUGAUUCAAUCU